rnacentral:rRNA from 1 species
CAGUCGCCACGGUAAUACGAAGGGUGCAAGCGUUAAUCGGAAUUACUGGGCGUAAAGCGUGCGUAGGCGGCUUGGUAAGUUAGAGGUGAAAGCCCGGAGCUCAACUCCGGAAUUGCCUUUAAGACUGCCGAGCUAGUAGGUGAGAGAGGUAAGUGGAAUUCCGAGUGUAGAGGUGAAAUUCGUAGAUAUUCGGAAGAACACCAGUGGCGAAGGCGGCUUACUGGCUCAUUCUAGACGCUGAGGUGCGAAAGCGUGGGGAGCAAACAGGAUUAGAUACCCCCGUAGUCCCUGUCUCUUAUAC